rnacentral:sRNA from 1 species
AGUGAGUUCAGAAAAUACACAGCGUGCUA